rnacentral:rRNA from 1 species
GGAGUUAGCCGGUGCUUCUUCUGUGAGUGAUGUCCUUCCUGCCGGCUAUUAACCCGCAGGCCUUCUUCCUCACUGAAAGUGCUUUACAACCCGAAGGCCUUCUUCACACACGCGGCAUGGCUGGAUCAGGGUUGCCCCCAUUGUCCAAUAUUCCCCACUGCUGCCUCCCGUAGGAGUCUGGGCCGUGUCUCAGUCCCAGUGUGGCUGAUCAUCCUCUCAGACCAGCUACGGAUCGUCGCCUCGGUGAGCCGUUACCUCACCAACCAGCUAAUCCGACAUAGGCUCAUCCGAUAGCGCGAGGCCCGAAGGUCCCCCGCUUUCCCCCGUAGGGCGUAUGCGGUAUUAGCCUGGGUUUCCCCAGGUUAUCCCCCACUACCGGGCAGAUUCCUAUGCAUUACUCACCCGUCCGCCGCUCGCCACCAGGGAGCAAGCUCCCCGUGCUGCCGCUCGACUUGCAUGUGUUAGGCCUGCCGCCAGCGUUCAAUCUGAGCCAGAAUCGAACCCUGA